rnacentral:misc_RNA from 1 species
GUGCACGUGCUUGUGCGUUAGAAUCAUAUGAAAAUAUAGAUGGAAUGGACAGAAUUAAAAGCACGGAAAACUUUCCUAAACUGAACAGAAACUGCUGUUUCUGACUCACUAUGCCAAGAAUAACAAGAGUCAUCCAGACAUGAGCAAAGCGACUUGCAGAUCAGUAAAUUGCAUAGAAUGCUUGACAAAAUCAUUUCUGAAAAUGUUAACAUAAUGCAUAGUGCAAUUGUAUUGCUUUAAGGUCACAACUCAAAUCUAUCAACAAUCAUUUAUUCAAAAUUAGUCAUGCUACAAGAAUGGCAUAUUGAGACUCACAACGGACUGAGAAAUAGGAUAUCAAAGAAUAAAGAACACAAAGCAGUUAAUUUUAACAUUUAAAAUCAGAAAAUAAAAAAAUAAAAAAA